rnacentral:rRNA from 1 species
GACGAACGCUGGCGGCGUGCCUAAUACAUGCAAGUUGAGCGCUGAAGGUUGGUACUUGUACCAACUGGAUGAGCAGCGAACGGGUGAGUAACGCGUGGGGAAUCUGCCUUUGAGCGGGGGACAACAUUUGGAAACGAAUGCUAAUACCGCAUAAAAACUUUAAACACAAGUUUUAAGUUUGAAAGAUGCAAUUGCAUCACUCAAAGAUGAUCCCGCGUUGUAUUAGCUAGUUGGUGAGGUAAAGGCUCACCAAGGCGAUGAUACAUAGCCGACCUGAGAGGGGGAUCGGCCACAUUGGGACUGAGACACGGCCCAAACUCCUACGGGAGGCAGCAGUAGGGAAUCUUCGGCAAUGGACGAAAGUCUGACCGAGCAACGCCGCGGGAGGGAAGAAGGUUUUCGGAUCGUAAAACUCUGUUGGUAGAGAAGAACGUUGGUGAGAGUGGAAAGCUCAUCAAGUGACGGUAACUACCCAGAAAGGGACGGCUAACUACGUG